GAUGAACGCUGGCGGCGUGCCUAAUACAUGCAAGUCGAGCGGCAGCACGGUCUUCGGACUGGUGGCGAGCGGCGGACGGCUGAGUAACGCGUAGGAACGUACCCCAAAGUGAGGGAUAACUGCUCGAAAGAGUAGCUAAUACCGCAUGUGAUCUAAGGAUUAAAGCUUCGGCGCUUUGGGAACGGUCUGCGUCCGAUUAGCUAGUUGGUGAGGUAAAAGCUCACCAAGGCGACGAUCGGUAGCUGGUCUGAGAGGAUGAUCAGCCAGACUGGGACUGAGACACGGCCCAGACUCCUACGGGAGGCAGCAGUAGGGAAUUUUCCACAAUGGGCGAAAGCCUGAUGGAGCAACGCCGCGUGCAGGAUGAAUGCCUUAGGGUUGUAAACUGCUUUUAUAUGUGACGAAUAUGACGGUAGCAUAUGAAUAAGGAUCGGCUAACUCCGUGCCAGCCGCCGCAGUAA
rnacentral:rRNA from 1 species